CCUACGGGUGGCAGCAGUGAGGAAUAUUGGUCAAUGGACGAGAGUCUGAACCAGCCAAGUAGCGUGAAGGAUGACUGCCCUAUGGGUUGUAAACUUCUUUUAUAUGGGAAUAAAACGUUCCACGUGUGGGAUUUUGUAUGUACCAUAUGAAUAAGGAUCGGCUAACUCCUUGCCAGCAGCCGCGGUAAUACGGAGGAUCCGAGCGUUAUCCGGAUUUAUUGGGUUUAAAGGGAGCGUAGGUGGAUUGUUAAGUCAGUUGUGAAAGUUUGCGGAUCAACCGUAAAAUUGCAGUUGAAACUGGCAGUCUUGAGUACAGUAGAGGUGGGCGGAAUUCGUGGUGUAGCGGUGAAAUGCUUAGAUAUCACGAAGAACUCCGAUUGCGAAGGCAGUUCACUGGACUGCAACUGACACUGAGGCUCGAAAGUGUGGGUAUCAAACAGGAUUAGAUACCCUUGUAGUC
rnacentral:rRNA from 1 species